UACAGAGGGGCAAGCGUUGUUCGGAAUUACUGGGCGUAAAGGCGCGUAGGCGGCCCGCUAAGUCGAACGUGAAAUCCCCGAGCUCAACUCGGGAACUGCGUCCGAUACUGGUGGGCUUGAAUCCGGAGAGGGAUGCGGAAUUCCAGGUGUAGCGGUGAAAUGCGUAGAUAUCUGGAGGAACACCGGUGGCGAAGGCGGCAUCCUGGACCGGCAUUGACGCUGAGGCGCGAAAGCU
rnacentral:rRNA from 1 species